GAGAUAAGGUAUGGGAUCUCAUUAACAGAGUGCUUCAAAAUGUAUUUCGUUCCAUUCCCAUACCGGAGACCAAACCGCAACAUGUUGUAGUUUACUUUCCGUCCUGGGAUGCGGAGCAAGACUGAUCAGUCAUGACCCCCAAUGCAAGUCAAUGGGGACGGAUGCGUUUUCUCUGCCACAAUAGAAAAUUGAU